UCACCACAAAUUCACCUCAAAACCUCUUGAUUUCAGCAAAACAAGAGGUUUGCUGUCAUUUUGAAUGCAUCAAGGUGAACAUAAACCAAGGUACGUUUUUACCAAGGAUUGUAUAGUUUCACACAUUCGAAAUUGUUUUCGAAUGUCAUUUUCGAUUCGAAGAUUGCAUAAAAAAGCAGCGCUUUUACGUACGCGCUUUGUCAAUGUGGAUAUGUGUGUGUGUUACUGUGCGCACCCGGCUUGGCUGGCUUGCCAUCUUUAUUUACUUUUGUGAGUGCUGUGAUUUGUUGGCGGAUCUUCUCGCAUCCCAUCUGCCAUGCUGUGAUUUUGUUUGCUUGAUUGCUGUAUUUGGAGAAAAGACAGAGAAGACUAUAUGGAUUCUAAAACCAUCGAACCACAUCAUGUGCCAGUUGCAUCAUCCAAUGUCAUUUCGCGAAGUGAUAAAAUAAUGCCAUCAAAAUCGCUUUCCUCCUCCUGUUCCAGAUCUGGCACACUAACUACAUCCCGACUUCCUGUGCUUGUAAUCAGCGAAACCAGCCCUUUAGUACAAAAUGCAUGUGUACCCCGUCCGUUAGACAAUUUGCUCGACGCUGGUGCUUCAUCGAAAACCCGUCUUCCUACUAGGCAAACAAACUCAUCUGCUUCCUCUAGUUUUAAGGCACCCCAUAAGCCCCUUCCGGUCCUUCACACAGUCUACCGACCAAUUGUGGAACCUUUGAAUUUGCCUCAAUCUUCUGGAUCUAUUUCUAAUACCAGUGAUUUGUCGAAAUCCCGUCUUCCCGUACUUCCAUCUGUACAAAUAGAAACACCUAAAACGAAUAUGCCUUCAUCUACUACAGGUGUCCCCCGAGAUACGACUGUAUUUGGGACCAAAAAAAUGUCCCAAAGCAAGGCGUAAGUCGAAAAAGUCGUAUAUCGAAUAUCUAAGAAUAUAAAGUUUAUAACCGAAGUUGAAGAAUUGGAAUUUA